CACACCUCUGGUGUAUCGGUUGUCACGCCAGUGGCAUUGCCGAGUAGCUAAGUGUGGAAGAGAUAACCGCUGAAAGCAUCUAAGCGGGAAACUCGUUUCAAGAUGAGAUCUGCCGGGGCCUUGAGCCCCCUAAAGAGUCGUUCAAGACCAGGACGUUGAUAGGUCAGGUGUGGAAGCGCAGUAAUGCGUUAAGCUAACUGAUACUAAUUGCUCGUGCGGCUUGACCCUAUAACUUUG
rnacentral:rRNA from 1 species